UCGGAUAUGGUGUAACGGCUAACAUUGCCGCCUCUCAUAAAGUACAUGGCAAUCUGCAAUUGCGCGGCAGCUCGGGGUUCGAUUCCCCGUAUCCGAA